UGGGCGUAAGCGCGCGCAGGCGGUUUCUUAAGUCUGAUGUGAAAGCCCCCGGCUCAACCGGGGAGGGUCAUUGGAAACUGGGAAACUUGAGUGCAGAAGAGGAAAGUGGAAUUCCAAGUGUAGCGGUGAAAUGCGUAGAGAUUUGGAGGAACACCAGUGGCGAAGGCGACUUUCUGGUCUGUAACUGACGCUGAGGCGCGAAAGCGUGGGGAGCAAACAGGAUUAGAUACCCUGGUAGUCCACGCUGUAAACGAUGAGUGCUAAGUGUUAGAGGGUUUCCGCCCUUUAGUGCUGAAGUUAACGCAUUAAGCACUCCGCCUGGGGAGUACGGUCGCAAGACUGAAACUCAAAGGAAUUGACGGGGGCCCGCACAAGUGGUGGAGCAUGUGGUUUAAUUCGAAGCAACGCGAAGAACCUUACCAGGUCUUGACAUCCUCUGACAACCCUAGAGAUAGGGCUUUCCCUUCGGGGACAGAGUGACAGGUGGUGCAUGGUUGUCGUCAGCUCGUGUCGUGAGAUGUUGGGUUAAGUCCCGCAACGAG
rnacentral:rRNA from 2 species